UCAGAAACAAAUAGCUACAGAAGCUGCACUUUAACAGCAAUUGCAGCUGGGCCAUGAUCAUAGUAUUUUCUUUUGCAAUUCUGGCGUCCAGGCGCCCCAAAGCGAAAUGGUGGUGGGCUCUAUCGGAAAUUCUUAAUUCUCGUGUGCUGCGAUUGCAAGUUGGAGCAAGAAUGCACAAGGGAUCUGAGAACAGUGCCCAAGCUAUUCUGAAAAGGAUGCUAUGCCUCCGCAAAAAGAAGUGAAGUGAGAGGGCUGGGUAGACAGGGAGAGGAGGAAAGCGGAGGUGAAAAAAGUGAAUGAUGAAUGGGAGAGGGGUGUGGUGGUGGACUAUGGGCUAUGGUCUAUGGAAUGUGAGAUAGCAAGAGAAAGGGAGGAGAGUAGGACCCCAUGGGUUAAAGAAAGACAAACUCCACCACUUCAUGAUGAUAUUCCUCCACCAUUGCCACACCCCCGCCCAUCUCCUCCUGCAUCCCCUUUUUCUACUAGUGUUGCUCUCUUUUGCGCGUGUGAAUGUGUGAUGAAAGGUACUGGUAGCACUGUUGCACGCAUCAUUUGGAUCAAAAGAAGCAUCACAGCACAGGUGUACAACUCAACCUGAAUGAACACUUGCUACUCAUGUAAAUAUUUUUUCCCUUGUUUGGAGCUGACUUGCUACUGCAGUUGAAGGACCUAAAGAAAUUAGCCGAGCAAGUCGAUGGAUCUUUCAGACUUCUACAAGGAUGGAUCUUGGCAAGUUGCAGCCUUUUGUAGAUGCCUAGAUGGAGACGGGGAAGAAAGUCGGUACCUUGAAGGAUUUGCUGCCGGAUUUG
rnacentral:lncRNA from 1 species